GUUAAAGCCAGAUCCUUGAAAUUAUCUCAGCUGAGUGGGCCCUUCUCAUAAAAAUCCUCUUGGUCUCACCAUUGAGGAUGAGCUGAGACCUUUUAUCUGCCUGGGAAAAUGUACUAGAAGAAUAAGUAGUUACACAGAUCAAUGACGUUUCAAAUGGGAUGCAUCAAACAAUUUCUGUUGGCUUUGGUGCAAGAGAUGGCUCCAAUUCGCUGCAGUGAGGAGGACGAUAUACUGAGGAACUCACUGAGCUGAUUUAAGGAUUGAAAGGCAAUGCCAUUCUCUUCUCACUAUCAGUUUUACCCUCUUUUGGAAGCUUCGUUUAAGCAUUUUGCAGUUUUAACCCCCUCGGGAGUGAGGAUUCUGUUCCUUGCGCUUCCAAGCUUUUCAGGGCCUGCUUCUCAGUAAAUUACAGUUUAUGA